rnacentral:misc_RNA from 1 species
ACUAAGGGUACAAGACUUCGACACACUGGUGUGUUACGGUAAUUUAAAUGUUCUUGUACUUUAAAUGUUAUCCAUAUUUAACAUCCAUAUUCAUUACCAUGUCCACAAUGUUUCUAUCUGUUCAUUAAAAUGGACUGUUUUUACUCUUGCUCCUUAUUAGUACUUACAGUAUUAGUAAAUGUACAUGUCCCCAAGCUCUACUGGAUCAAUUGCCAUGCAGUGUUUGUAGAAGCCCAAGUUUAUAAGUAUGCUUGCUACAGUUACUGUCCUAAAUACAACUACCAUAAACUGAUUCAAUGAGAGCACAGUUCUCUUUAAUUAUGUCUUAAUUACUUAUUCAAUAUUUAUCAGUGACAGAAAUUGGUUUUACUUUCCAAGUUUUGUUCUACAGUGUACAUGGUAUCCAUUUUAUGUCUUUUUAUUAACUCAGUCUGAAAAAAAAGAUGUUCUGUAAAACUCAACACAUAUUUAAAGAAUAAAAUUUAUAAUACCGGU